GAGGGCGACGUAAGACCUGCUAACUCUUUAACCCGGAAUUAAAAUCUGGCCCCCUCU
rnacentral:tRNA from 1 species